rnacentral:lncRNA from 1 species
GGGAGAUGGGGAGGGGGAGGACGGACAGCAUUACGGGUUGGGGUGAUGGGGAAGGGAAGAAAGGGAGCAGGAAAGAGGAAAUAGGAGCGGGGAGUGUCUAUAGGUACAGAUUGGGUGAUGGGGAAGGAAGAAAAGGAGCAGGAAAGAGGAAAUGGGAGCGAGGAGUGUCCAUAGGUACAGAUUGGGUGAUGGGGAAGGGAAGAAGGGCAGCAGGAAAGAUAGGAAAUAGGAGCAAGGAGUCUAUAGGUACAGAUUGGGGUGAUGGGGAAGGAAGAAAAGGAGCAGGAAAAAGGAAAUAGGAGCGAGGAGUGUCCAUAGGUACAGAUUGGGGUGAUGGGGAAGGGAAGAUGUGAAGCAGGAAUGA